rnacentral:lncRNA from 1 species
UCUUGCAUAACUAAAUCAAGUAGAGUCGAGUUUUUGAAUAUUUGGGUUUUACUAAAGGGAUUUUUUUUUUUCUUUUUUGAAGUAUUUUUAUCGAAAUCUUUCUCCAUUUUCAUAUAAAUAACAUCAUCCUAGAAAAAUAAAUUUUUGUCGCAAUAAAAAAUUUGUCGCAUUAUUAAUUUUUUUUCAAAAGAUGGGUGUAAUAGCCCAUUUUUGCCCGGGGCCCAAAUUAAUCAAUCUAACCCAAUUACAUUUGGCCCAAUAAGGCCCAAAUCACUAAACCAAACCCCAAAUCCCAGUCUAACCCUAAACAGUGGUUAACAACAGCUACCCUAACGUCGUGCACGCCCCACAUCGCAGCAAUCAGCAGUCGCACCCCACACACGUCGCAGUAACCGCCCACGUUCAGCCCUCCGCGCGCACGUCGCACAUGUCUCCUCUAGUACGCACCUGCAAUAAGCCACGAACGAUAUCAGCAAGAGAGACAAGGCAAAAACUGGUAAAAGGAUUGGGGGCUAUAUAAAGGAAUUGAUUUAUGUAAUAGGGGUUAGCAAAUUUUGUAUUGAAAUUAAAGAAAAUAAAAAAGAAAAAAAAACAGAAAAGCAAGGAUUUUGAAGGUGAUUUUCUGGGUCUAUUUCUUUUCUUACUCACUGAUUUCUUUGUUUGUUUGUUUUUUUUCUUUUCCUUUGCACACCAAACAAAAAUAAAAGGAGGAGGAGAAAUCCUUACCAAAAGAGGCGCGCCGUCGACAUCUUUGCUUCUCUUCGUCCAAAUCGAAGUUGGAAGGGGGGAGUUUGGCUUGAAAACAGAGGAGAAGGUGGAGCAGUCCUUGUGGUGGCUGCUGUUGCAGAAAAGGGAAAUAAUUUUAGGGUUUUAAAAUGGGAUUUUAUAGGGUUCAAAAUGGGCCAUUUACGCAAUUGGUCCCCUUGUUUUUACAUUUUUUUAAAUCAUUUUUUAUUUCUUUUAAAUUUUGUAAUAUGUUUUAUUUCUGUUUCAAAUUGAUCCAAAUGAUGUGCAGCGUUUUGGGCAGUUUGGGUAAA